GAUGAACGCUGGCGGCGUGCCUAAUACAUGCAAGUAGAACGCUGAAGGAGGAGCUUGCUCUUCUGGAUGAGUUGCGAACGGGUGAGUAACGCGUAGGUAACCUGCCUGGUAGCGGGGGAUAACUAUUGGAAACGAUAGCUAAUACCGCAUGACAACAGUUAUUGCAUGAUAACUGUUUAAAAGGGGCAACUGCUCCACUACCAGAUGGACCUGCGUUGUAUUAGCUAGUUGGUGAGGUAACGGCUCACCAAGGCGACGAUACAUAGCCGACCUGAGAGGGUGGUCGGCCACACUGGGACUGAGACACGGCCCAGACUCCUACGGGAGGCAGCAGUAGGGAAUCUUCGGCAAUGGACGGAAGUCUGACCGAGCAACGCCGCGUGAGUGAAGAAGGUUUUCGGAUCGUAAAGCUCUGUUGUAAGAGAAGAACGAGUGUGAGAGUGGAAAGUUCACACUGUGACGGUAUCUGACCAGAAAGGGACGGCUAACUACGUG
rnacentral:rRNA from 1 species